rnacentral:rRNA from 1 species
CCUACGGGAGGCAGCAGUGAGGAAUAUUGGUCAAUGGGCGCGAGCCUGAACCAGCCAAGUCGCGUGAGGGAAGACGGUCCUAUGGAUCGUAAACCUCUUUUGUCGGGGAGCAAAAGACGCCACGCGUGGCGUUCCGAGAGUACCCGAAGAAAAAGCAUCGGCUACCUCCGUGCCAGCAGCCGCGGUAAUACGGAGGAUGCGAGCGUUAUCCGGAUUUAUUGGGUUUAAAGGGUGCGCAGGCGGAAGGUGAAGUCAGCGGUAAAAUGCAGGGGCUCAACCACUGCGAGCCGUUGAAACUGGUUUUCUUGAGUGGGCGAGAAGUAUGCGGAAUGCGUGGUGUAGCGGUGAAAUGCAUAGAUAUCACGCAGAACUCCGAUUGCGAAGGCAGCAUGCCGGCGCUCAACUGACGCUCAUGCACGAAAGUGUGGGUAUCGAACAGGAUUAGAUACCCGAGUAGUC